rnacentral:rRNA from 1 species
CCUACGGGUGGCUGCAGUGGGGAAUAUUGGACAAUGGGCGAAAGCCUGAUCCAGCCAUGCCGCGUGUGUGAAGAAGGUCUUCGGAUUGUAAAGCACUUUAAGUUGGGAGGAAGGGGUUGAAGCUAAUACCUUCAAUCUUUGACGUUACCAACAGAAUAAGCACCGGCUAACUCUGUGCCAGCAGCCGCGGUAAUACAGAGGGUGCAAGCGUUAAUCGGAAUUACUGGGCGUAAAGCGCGCGUAGGUGGUUCAGUAAGAUGGAAGUGAAAUCCCCGGGCUUAACCUGGGAACUGCUUUCAUAACUGCUGAGCUAGAGUACGGUAGAGGGUAGUGGAAUUUCCUGUGUAGCGGUGAAAUGCGUAGAUAUAGGAAGGAACACCAGUGGCGAAGGCGACUACCUGGACUGAUACUGACACUGAGGUGCGAAAGCGUGGGGAGCAAACAGGAUUAGAUACCCCGGUAGUC